UCUACGGAGUCGGCAAAAGUGGACAGCCUUUGUCUUUUCCUCCGACAGCACAAACCCGACCGCAUUGGCGUUACUACAGAUUUUGUUUAUGGCCACUUGUAGACUUCGAGUUAUUGCACCGACCGUCUUACCAGAACAACAAACCAUUAAAUCAUCAACAUACAAACAUUUAUCAAUCAUCCCCUCAACACCUUUAGCUAUUUCGUUUAUGGCGAUGCCAAACAGGGAACAGCUAAGUGUUGACCCCUGCGGCACACCAUUUUCUAAAACAUACUCUUUUGAGUGGAUGUCACCGAUUCUUACAACAAACUUUCUGUUCUCUAGAAAGGAUUGUAUAAAUUUUGGUAACUUCCCUCGAAGAUUGUAUUUAUACAUAUUCUGCAAUAUUCCAUAUCACCAAGUCAUGUCGUAAGCGCCCUUUAUAUCAAAGAAAACCGCAAGCAGGUGUUCACCACUGUCAAAUGCACUCAGAAUUCUAUCGGUCAAUUUGACCAAAUGGUCAGCCGUUGCCCGUCCCUUCCGAAAACCCGUUUGAUAAGUUUUCCCAAGCAAGACGUUAAACUAAUUGGGCGAUAACUUUGUGCCAGCAACGGAUCUUUUCCAGGUUUCGGUAUAGGAAUGACAACGGCCUGUUUCCAUUCCGAGGGGAGUACAGUGAUGAAACAUCUGGUUGUGGAUUUCGUCUUCUCCCGGUGAACAUGACUUGGUGUUACGGAUAGCGAUAUUCAACUCUUCUAAGACGACCACCACGGAACCAUUUUUGCUUUAUUGCCAGGUUUGGAUUUUGGAAUACUGGCGUUCGCAGCGUCUAAUAUAGCAGAUGUAAGAGUUUUUAAACUUAAGCUAUCUAGGGCUGGAGGGACGAACUUACUUGCAAAAAGUUCCCAAUCUGCUUGUGGGAUCUUAAAUCUAGCCACUGAUCUUAUCGUGGGAUUUUUGCCUCUAACAGAAAUGAUUAUGGGAAAAUGAUCGCUGUGAUGGAGAUCAGUUUCCACCUCCCAUUCAAAAUUACAGUAUAUA